rnacentral:rRNA from 1 species
UUAAGCGAAUAAGCGUACACGGUGGAUGCCUAGGCAGUCAGAGGCGAUGAAGGACGUGCUAAUCUGCGAUAAGCGCCGGUAAGGUGAUAUGAACCGUUAUAACCGGCGAUUUCCGAAUGGGGAAACCCAGUGUGAUCCGUCACACUAUCAUUACCUGAAUACAUAGGGUAAUGAAGCGAACCGGGAGAACUGAAACAUCUAAGUACCCCGAGGAAAAGAAAUCAAACGAGAUUCCCCCAGUAGCGGCGAGCGAACGGGGAGCAGCCCAGAACCUUAAUCACUAUCAGCAUCAGGAGAACAGUCUGGAAAGGCUGGCCGCAGCAGGUGAUAGCCCUGUAUCCGAAGGUGUUGGUAGUGUGAGUUCGAUGAGUAAGGCGGGACACGUGUUAUCCUGUCUGAAUACGGGGGGACCAUCCUCCAAGGCUAAAUACUCCUGACUGACCGAUAGUGAACCAGUACCGUGAGGGAAAGGCGAAAAGAACCCCGGCGAGGGAGUGAAAAAGAACCUGAAACGUGUACGUACAAGCAGUGGGAGCACCUUUAUGGUGUGACUGCGUACCUUUGUAUAAUGGGUCAGCGACUUAUAUUCUGUAGCAAGGUAACCGAAUAGGGGAGCCGCAGGAAACCGAGUCUUAACUGGGCGAAUUAGUUGCAGGGUAUAGACCCGAAAACCCGGUGAUCUAGCCAUGGGCAGGUUGAAGGUUGGGUAACACUAACUGGAGGACCGAACCGACUAAUGUUGAAAAAUUAGCGGAUGACUUGUGGCUGGGGGUGAAAGGCCAAUCAAACCGGGAGAUAGCUGGUUUCCCCGAAAGCUAUUUAGGUAGCGCCUCGUGAACUCAUCUCCGGGGGUAGAGCACUGUUUCGGCUAGGGGGUCAUCCCGACUUACCAACCGAUGCAAACUGCGAAUACGGAGAAUGUUAUCACGGGAGACACACGGCGGGUGCUAACGUUCGUCGUGAAGAGGGAAACAACCCAGACCGCCGGCUAAGGUCCCAAAGUCAUAAUUAAGUGGGAAACGAAGUGGGAAGGCUCAGACAGCCAGGAUGUUGGCUUAGAAGCAGCCAUCAUUUAAAGAAAGCGUAAUAGCUCACUGGUCGAGUCGGCCUGCGCGGAAGAUGUAACGGGGCUAAAUUAUGCACCGAAGCCGCGGCAGCGAUAUGUAAAUAUUGUUGGGUAGGGGAGCGUUCUGUAAGCCUGUGAAGGUGACCUGUGAGGGUUGCUGGAGGUAUCAGAAGUGCGAAUGCUGACAUAAGUAACGAUAAUGCGGGUGAAAAACCCGCACGCCGGAAGACCAAGGGUUCCUGUCCAACGUUAAUCGGGCAGGGUGAGUCGACCCCUAAGGCGAGCUGAAAAGCGUAGUCGAUGGGCAACGGGUUAAUAUUCCCGUACUGGUGGUAACUGCGAAGGGGGGACGGAGAAAGCUAAAUCAUCCGGGCGACGGUUGUCCCGGUUUAAGCGUGCAGGUGGACUGACCAGGCAAAUCCGGUCGGUUGUUAACACUGAGGCGUGACGACGAGCCACUACGGUGGUGAAGUGAUUGAUGCUCUGCUUCCGGAAAAGCCUCUAAGCUCCAGGUUACCAUUAAUCGUACCCCAAACCGACACAGGUGGUCAGGUAGAGAAUACUCAGGCGCUUGAAGAAACUCGGGUGAAGGAACUAGGCAAAAUGGUGCCGUAACUUCGGGAGAAGGCACGCUGGCAUUAGGUGAAGUGGUUUACCCAUGGAGCUGAAGCCAGCCGCAGAUACCAGCUGGCUGCAACUGUUUAUUAAAAACACAGCACUGUGCAAACACGAAAGUGGACGUAUACGGUGUGACGCCUGCCCGGUGCCGGAAGGUUAAUUGAUGAGGUCAGCCGCAAGGCGAAGCUUCUGAUCGAAGCCCCGGUAAACGGCGGCCGUAACUAUAACGGUCCUAAGGUAGCGAAAUUCCUGUCGGGUAAGUUCCGACCUGCACGAAUGGCGUAAUGAUGGCCAGGCUGUCUCCACCCGAGACUCAGUGAAAUUGAACUCGCUGUGAAGAUGCAGUGUACCCGCGGCAAGACGGAAAGACCCCGUGAACCUUUACUAUAGCUUGACACUGAACAUUGAGCCUUGAUG